rnacentral:rRNA from 1 species
UUCCUACGGGACGCAGCAGUGGGGAAUAUUGCACAAUGGGGGAAACCCUGAUGCAGCAACGCCGCGUGAGUGAAGAAGCGUUUCGGCGCGUAAAGCUCUGUCAGCGGGGAAGAAAGAAGACGGUACCCGACCAAGAAGCCCCGGCUAACUACGUGCCAGCAGCCGCGGUAAUACGUAGGGGGCGAGCGUUAUCCGGAAUUACUGGGUGUAAAGGGAGCGUAGACGGCGAAGUAAGCCUGAAGUGGAAGCCCGCGGCCCAACCGCGGAACUGCUUUGGGAACUGUUUUGCUGGAGUAUGGGAGGGG